UCUCGAGUCCAAAUAGACUCCUCUCCUCUUGCAUUUCGUAAUGGGUAAAUGAGGCUCACCCCUUCAAGUCAAGUUUGAAGUUUAAACCCAAGGUCCACUACAUGGCGUGCGGGUGCUAGAAGAUAGACGAAGAAGGAAAAUGGGCCAAAACUCAUUGAUAAGGUCACUAAGAGACUUGAAAAGUCUCAACUUUUAUUAUUGUCUUCUUUUUAUUUAUUCAUUUAGUCAUUUAUUUUAUUCAUUCAUUUCGGCCUCGAAGCCAAAGUUGUAUUUAAUAUAGGUGGAGCAAGACUCGAGCCAAAGGCUCAAAAAAUAGUUUAGGACAGGUGAAAUGGAUCGAAAGCCCAACUAGACUAGGACAG
rnacentral:lncRNA from 1 species